ACAGAGGUGAAAAUACUUGCUUUAAAGGAUUGUAAUGUUUCCUUUUAAAAUAAGUCUCUAAGGUCAGACAAAGGGACAGAAACUCAUAGCUUUCUACCAGCCCAAUGACAAAACUAUAAGUUGUUUUUUAACAUCUACUUUUUCAUCUAUUUGGCAGUCACAGUGAAAAGUAUAAACAUUGGCACGCUUUGUCUUGUGAUUCUGCUGUUCGUAAAAAAUGACCAUGCGCAAAGUACCAGACUUUAAGGCUUUGACUUGAUGCCAAUGGCCUGAGGAGGACAGUAUUACCCUUGGACAUGUGUAGUCUGCCGUCUACUCAAUAGAAGAACAAGAAGCGCGGAAAUGGCACAACUGUCUUCAGUUUCUGGGAGAGUUUAACAAUGAGAGACUGAUGAUGCAGAAGAAAUCUCCGUGGUUAAAAACAUUAAAAACAGUCGUCCAGGAUGAUGAGAUCCGCCACUGGCUCAGACUGCUGUAUAUCAGCCGGAGACCCGAGAUGAAGUCACGCAGCAGUCCCACAUCAACAUGAAGUGUAAGGAGGAGGAAGAUCUGGCUGGCCAGCAGGUCUGGAAGCAGGAGAGGAACUUCAAUCUGGACCAGGAGGACACAGAUCCCCCACAGAUCAAAGAGGAACAGGAGGAACUCUGCAUCAGUCAAGAGGGAGAACAGCUUGUAGUGAAACACGAGGAUGAAGGCAUCGUCGUCUGGAGCGGGGAAGAGCGGCUCAGACAGCUGCGUAACAUCUGGAAACCUGAGAAAGAUUUACAGACCAGCGGUAAAACUAAGCAAUAGUGGAGAGACCGGCUGACUGCUGCAGAAGAAAUCUGCUCUGAGGUUAACAGAACGUCUGAUCGUCCAGUAUGAGAUCAACCUUCAGCAGAGACUGCUGGAUAUCAGCCGGAAACCCGAGAUAAAGUUACGCAUAACAGUGACCCUUUGUUCCUCAAGAUCUCCCC